GACGGAGGGUGCAAGCGUUGUUCGGAUUGACUGGGCGUAAAGGGCGUGUAGGCGGUUGGUCAAGUCUGGUGUGAAAGCCCGGGGCUCAGCUCCGGAAGUGCAUCGGAAACUAGCCGACUGGAGCGCGAUAGAGGAGGGUGGAAUUCCUGGUGUAGCGGUGAAAUGCGUAGAUAUCAGGAGGAACACCGGCGGCGAAGGCGGCCCUCUGGAUCGUUGCUGACGCUGAGACGCGAAAGCGUGGGGGAGCGAACAGG
rnacentral:rRNA from 1 species